rnacentral:rRNA from 1 species
UACAGAGGUCCCAAGCGUUGUUCGGAUUCACUGGGCGUAAAGGGUGCGUAGGUGGUUAGGUAAGUCUGAUGUGAAAUCUCACAGCUUAACUGUGAAACUGCAUUGGAUACUAUUCGGCUUGAGAGUUGGAGGGGGGACUGGAAUUCUUGGUGUAGCAGUGAAAUGCGUAGAUAUCAAGAGGAACACCAGUGGCGAAGGCGAGUCCCUGGACAACUUCUGACGCUGAGGCACGAAAGCUAGGGGAGCAAACAGG